UUUAGGCAUUUCCAUCUAUUUAAAUUUUGCAAUUUCAAUUUUUAAUUAUAAUUUUGGUUAAAAAAAUUACAGGGUGUAUUUUUAUUGAAAAAUUUUAUCGAAAAAAAAGGGAAAAUUACUACAAUUAAAGUUCAAUGUGUUGCCAAGAUCAUUGUACGUCAGUGAUUACCAAUUGUUAUCAAUCCUUGAUUGUGAUUGUUGAUCAAAAUAAAUUGUUCACUUCGAUUUUCUUUAUUCUUUCUUCAAGAUGAACUUAAAAUCGGAGAAAACAUCAGGAAUGUCUUCAAACACACUUCGAAUAUUGCACUUACCCCCUGAACUUUCCGACGAACGAAGAGACCAACUACUCAAAAAAUACAAUGCCGUAAAAACGAAGACUGUGAGAAAAUCGGCAAAAUAUUCGAUAACAUUUGCGGAAUUCCCUUCAAAGGAAAUUGCAACCGAAGCAUUUUUGCGCCUUCACCAACUAGAAGUAAAGGAUCAUCGACUCUCUAUUGAUUUUGCCAAAGAAUCGAUCUCGACAGAUUACACCAAGAUUGACCCUAGUGAUAAAAUUGAAGAACAGGAGUCGAAAAAGGAAAGCACUCAAAAAACACAUUUGCAGAAUUUUUUAAAGAAGUUAAACAGUUGGAGUGGAAGUAAUUUGUUUACACAACCGCCUAAUCCAAGUAUUUGGUACGCGUAUCCGCCACCCACUAAAGAAACUCUUUUGAGAAUUUUUAUUCAGUUAUUGAAAGAACCGAUGUUUUAUACACAGGUAUUACAUUUAAUGAACAGAAUGAAUUUACCGCCUCCAUUCGAAGAAAUGGAAAUGGAAUUUCCUUUAUUGAAGGAAACAUACAAUGUGGAUCAAUACAAAAAUCUCUUUGGAAUUCUAGAAAUGCCGCAAACAGAAUUGAGACCAAAUAUCGAGUCGCAAGAGCAAGAAGAGGAGGAAGAAGAGGAAUCGGAAAUUGAAUCUGAAGAUGAACCAAGUAGCAAACUCCAGAAUAUAAUUCCUGUGAAAAGAAAGAAACCUUCUUCGACAAAGAGGUUGAAGAUUCCAAAGUUUGUAAAUCCGAAAAAAUUAGUUGCAACUUCUUCCUCUAACCAGAAGCCCUUGAGGCCGGAAGAUUUAUUCGAAUCUGUAGAUAAAAGUCAACCUAAGAAGGUUGAAUUAAAAAUUGUUAGCAGUCUGUCAUCAGCAGAAUCGACAUCUUUUCAGGUGUCCAAAGACAAACAAGAGGGGGGUUUUGGCAUUAUUUUUCCUGCUAAUAAAUCUGAGGUUAAAUCUACGGAGGAAAGUGAAAAAAGGGUUGAGGAGCAUCAAGAAUUUAUUACUUCGGAACAACUUGCGAGUAAUAGAAUACCAGUUAAGGAUUUCGAUAAGUUUUCUGCGGGUAAGAAUUACCAUCCUGGAAAACCAUCCUGUCGUUUGUACAUAAAAAAUCUGGCGAAGCAGGUCGAACUAAAAGAUUUGUAUUUUAUUUACAAAAAAUACUUUAUUGAAAAUUUGGCUACGAGUGAGAGACAGUUUCAGGUGAAACUUAUGGAAACGGGACGAAUGAAAGGGCAAGCUUUUGUAACGUUGCAAAAUGUUAAGCAGGCUGAAUUGGCUCUCAACGAAACGAAUGGUUACGUUCUCAAAGAUAAAGCGAUGGUGGUUCAGUUUUCUAAAAAUGAUGCGUAAAACUGAGAAUCGUUGGAAGCGAGAGCUGAGGAGAUUAUUGUGAUAUAAUGGACAAGAGGAAAUUCCGCCAAUUUACAAGGCAACCAAUGGGCAGGUAGCUGUCGAAAAGGCGAGUCCUUCGAAAAAGGUGGCUUCUGUGAAAACGGAAACAGCCAAAAAGUCAUCAAAGACUGAAGAACUUGACGGAAAGCUAA